rnacentral:ncRNA from 1 species
GUUCGAAGACGAUCAGAUACCGUCGUAGUUCCGACCAUAAAUGAUGCCGACUGGCGAUGCGGCGGCGUUAUUCCCAUGACCGCCGGGCAGCUUCCGGGAAACCAAAGUCUUUGGGU